rnacentral:rRNA from 1 species
GAUGAACGCUGGCGGCGUGCCUAAUACAUGCAAGUCGAGCGAACGGACGAGAAGCUUGCUUCUCUGAUGUUAGCGGCGGACGGGUGAGUAACACGUGGAUAACCUACCUAUAGGACUGGGAUAACUUCGGGAAACCGGAGCUAAUACCGGAUAAUAUUUUGAACCGCAUGGUUCAAAAGUGAAAGACGGUCUUGCUGUCACUUAUAGAUGGAUCCGCGCUGCAUUAGCUAGUUGGUAAGGUAACGGCUUACCAAGGCAACGAUGCAUAGCCGACCUGAGAGGGUGAUCGGCCACACUGGAACUGAGACACGGUCCAGACUCCUCCGGGAGGCAGCAGUAGGGAAUCUUCCGCAAUGGGCGAAAGCCUGACGGAGCAACGCCGCGUGAGUGAUGAAGGUCUUCGGAUCGUAAAACUCUGUUAUUAGGGAAGAACAUAUGUGUAAGUAACUGUGCACAUCUUGACGGUACCUAAUCAGAAAGCCACGGCUAACUACGUG